ensembl:lncRNA CASC2 cancer susceptibility 2
AGCACCUCCCUGGUUGCCGUGGCGACUGGAGGCGCGCGACGCGGGCGCAAUGGCGGGGACCCGGGGCUUGAUGCUGCUUGGGCCUGGCCCAGUGGCGGGUCCUAGGGACGUGGGUACCUGCAGAGGCCGGCAGAUGGAGAUUCAGAAACAUAAGGACAACAAGAAACUUCCCCAAGGUAUCAUUAUAGUCUUUAGACUUCAGACACACACCACACCUCAAAUAUAUACACAACUGAAAGGAAAAUUAAGGAAGUUUUUCAAAGAACCCUAUUCCGAGUAAGAAGUGUGUUGCAUGAAUUUCUAAGGUCUCUGAAAAGCAACUUAUUCACUGGAGAUGUGAGGAGCCAUCCGCACAUCACAAUUCUAUAGACAUCAAACGCAUGAAGCAUUUCGGAUCUGCUUUAAGACUGAGGCAGACUUUCCAUCUGGACACAGCCGACCAUCCAUGUGUCAUUACAAUGAAUCCAGCACUUCCCUGGAAGCUGGAAGGGUCAAAUUCAACUUCAACUCUGCCACUUCCUGCUUAACUUGCUGUUUAACCUUGGGCAAGCUGCCAUCCCACACGAGGCCGAAGGUGUCGGUUUUUAAAAUACAGAAAUUUGGUUCCAUGAGGGAUUAUCAAUAUACUGCUGGUGGGCCAAAUUCCAUCUGCUACUUGCCUUUGUAAAUAAAGUUUUAUUGAAACACAAACAUGCCCAUUAGUUUACUCUUGUCUGUGACUACAAGGGCAAAGUUGAAUAGUUGUUACAGAGACCAUCAGGCUCACAAAGCCUAGGUUAUUUACUAUCUGCCCAUUUACAGAGUAAGUUUGCCAGCCCUGGACUGGAUAAUUUUUUGAGUUCUUUCUAAUUCUAGAAUUCUUUAUAUAUUUUAUGAAACCCCUAAUGUUUAUAUAUUAAUUAUUUCAAUACCCGUGUCUUUACUGAGUCCCUCCUAUGAAGCAUACAUCAAGACAUAUGUGUGAUACAUUAACUAAACUUUUAACAGUAUCUUAAAUAGGAUUUCAAUGACUAACAGCUCUUGGAAAUAUCCAAGGUAACAUUUGGGGGCAAAUGUCUUAUGAUUUGAUUAUCAUUGGUAAAUAGAGCAUAUCUUUUUUUCCACUAACAAUGUUUAAGAAGUUAAAAAAAAAUCAAGAAAACCCCGUAUGGCACUAGAGACUUAUUGCAUUAAGACAUCAUCUUAACAGAUUGUUUAGUUUUGGUAAUAUAAUUUGACAUCUAAACAUAAGCUGAGAGGGAUCUCCCUCAAAACCUUUGAUAAUAUGAUUCAUUGUCAAAUGUUUGUUUUGCCUAUCUGGCACUCAUUAAUUAAUUCUUUUUAAUAUAGCUUGGAUUUACUGAUUUUGAAAAAGAGAAUUAUUCUUAUUGAUGUUGCUAAAAUAUCCAGGUGGCUUGAAUUUCACCAACUAGAUAGUUUAAUCUAGCACAUUUGUGUAGCCCUAAUCAAAUCUUUACUAACAGAUGUGAGAAGCCCAGUACUGGAGCUAAUGUUUGUGUCUCAAUGAUAAUUAAAUUAGCUUAAUAAGGAAAAUAAAUGAACAAUAAUCACCAAAAUUUUUCCCUAAACCUGUGUUAUAGUCUUAAAAACAUUUUUUCCCCUAUGGAGGCUUUUGGUAAUAAAACACAAAUUGAGGGAUUUUAAUUAAAAGAAAUUUUUUUUUCAAGAACUGGUCAUGUACUAAAUUGCUUAUAAUCAAAUAAUCAAGUAGCAUUUCUUUUAUUAUAAGAGCAAAACCUAUAAUUAAGCCAAAAUUCAAAUUUGUUUUUAAAGGUUGAAUAAUCUUUUGUUUUGGCCAAUAGUAUGUGGAUUUUUUUUUUAAGUAUUAUCUCUUUGUAGUAUUUUCUAAUGGAUAGGAAAUGCCUUUCUCAGGUUGAAUGAUUAUUUCCACAUAGAAUUAGUUCCUGCUUACAACAGUGCUCCACUAAUGUAAUGGCUCGGUGAAUUGGCUUUAUAAUUCAUUAAUCAUAGCUCACAUUGAGCUUUUGGCUCCAGGUGACAGUGCCCACCACAGGCCAAAUAACUUCUCAUUUAAAGGCAAUUUGUACAAAUAGGGAAGGUGAGAAUUCUCACAGUCCCAGAGGGAUUGAAGAGUUUUAAAAAACCAAGAUAAGGCAUUUUAUGGAAGACAGGUUGAUGGAAGAAAAGUGGCCAUUGGAGGAUGAGGCAGAUGGCUUUCCAGGGAGGCCCUGGAGCUGCCACCAUGGGGAAGGCCAUGUUGCAGCUGCUGAUCAGAGCACAUUGGACGGUGUUUCCGUGUGAACAUGAAGACAAUGCUGCCUCUGUUUCUGUGACGCUGUGCUCUGAUCUUGCUGGAGGCGAAGUGGUGUCAGCUGUGCUUACAGGACAGUCAGUGGUGGUAGAAAAGAGGCCAGUGUGACCUGUGAAGGACUGGGCCCCUCUCACUCAACCUGAGUGCCUGCAGUUGUGGCCACCUUUAUUUGUGUAUUCUACUGUAUUUAUUUAUUUGCCUGGCUAAUUAGCUCUGUGCCACAUUCCUAAGCUAGAUGUGUCCCUUCAUGUAAGUGAGAGGGAGACAGAAAGAAAGACUGAGGUGGGGGGUAGGAGAAAGAGAGGAAAGCAAGCAAGAAGAAAGAGAAAGAGAGAAGAAGAAAGGAAGAGGAAAGAAAGAGAGAAAGAGAAAGAGAAGGAAGGAAGGAGAAAGAGAAGGAAAGAAGGAGCCUUCUAAUUUUAUUUCAUUUCUCCAAUAAAUGUUCCUAUAUUAAGACUUUAGACAAAGAUUAGAAAUAUGAUUUGACAGAAAGUGUAUGGAUGUGUUGUUCUAUUGCAUUGUAAGUAAAGUAUCCAUGGCAAUAUACAAAUAAUACAGCUCCUACCCCUAUUCUCUGUUGUUACUUUCAUGUGUUGUCUUAACUUUUUAAAUUUCAAGAUAAUAUUGCGCUUAUUUAUUUUUCCAUGAGGAGGCCUAGGAUUUAGCUUGAUUAGAAAAGCUGUGGAAAAUGAA